rnacentral:rRNA from 1 species
UACGUAGGGGGCAAGCGUUGUCCGGAAUCAUUGGGCGUAAAGCGCGUGUAGGCGGCCAUGUAAGUCCGUUCUGAAAGCCCGGGGCUCAACCCCGGGAGGCGGAUGGAUACUGCAUGGCUCGAGUACGGAAGAGGCGAGUGGAAUUCCCGGUGUAGCGGUGAAAUGCGCAGAUAUCGGGAGGAACACCAAUGGCGAAGGCAGCUCGCUGGGACGUUACUGACGCUGAGCCGCGAAAGCGUGGGGAGCAAACAGG